rnacentral:misc_RNA from 1 species
ACAGGGAACAGGUCGUAUUGAAAUUGUGUCCCAGAUAGUACAAGCUCUAGACAAGUAGUUGUAUCCCUUCCAUGAAGACUUCUAGAAGACCCACCAUUCUUUUCAUGUGUAUGCCAAUCAGAACCAGCAAACAUUCUCCAGCUUACAUUAAUGUUCUUAAGAAGUACACACCCCAUGGGCUUUCCAAAAUUAUCAGCUCUUAUACGGUCAGAAGAUGAAAGCUUGUCUUCCAAAACCUUAUUCAAGCUGGCUUCUUCACUUUCUUCAGAAAUGUGAUUUUCAAUAAUGCUUAAAGAAGUAUCCUUAUACCAUCC